rnacentral:rRNA from 1 species
CAGCACCGCGGGAAUACGAAGGGUGCAAGCGUUAAUCGGAAUUACUGGGCGUAAAGCGCACGCAGGCGGUUUGUUAAGUCAGAUGUGAAAUCCCCGAGCUUAACUUGGGAACUGCAUUUGAAACUGGCAAGCUAGAGUCUUGUAGAGGGGGGUGGAAUUCCACGUGUAGCAGUGAAAUGCGUAGAGAUGUGGAGGAACACCGAUGGCGAAGGCAGCCCCCUGGGCCAAUACUGACACUGAGGCACGAAAGCGUGGGGAGCAAACAGGAUUAGAUACCCGAGUAGUCCCUGUCUAUUAUACC